rnacentral:piRNA from 1 species
UUACAACUGUUAUUUGUUGUU